rnacentral:rRNA from 1 species
GUCGAGUCGGCCUGCGCGGAAGAUGUAACGGGGCUAAACCAUGCACCGAAGCUGCGGCAGCGACACUAUGUGUUGUUGGGUAGGGGAGCGUUCUGUAAGCCUGCGAAGGUGACCUGUGAGGGUUGCUGGAGGUAUCAGAAGUGCGAAUGCUGACAUAAGUAACGAUAAAGCGGGUGAAAAGCCCGCUCGCCGGAAGACCAAGGGUUCCUGUCCAACGUUAAUCGGGGCAGGGUG